rnacentral:rRNA from 1 species
UACGUAGGGACCGAGCGUUGUCCGGAUUCAUUGGGCGUAAAGAGCUCGUAGGCGGCUGUUCAAGUCGAACGUGAAAACUCGGAGCUCAACUCCGAGCCUGCGUUCGAUACUGGACGGCUAGAGUCUGGUAGGGGGAUCUGGAAUUCCUGGUGUAGCGGUGGAAUGCGCAGAUAUCAAGAGGAACACCUGAGGUGAAGACGGGUUGCUGGGCCGACACUGACGCUGACAGCGCGAAAGCCAGGGGAGCAAACGGG